AACAGCUGGAGGUUCUCUCCCCACAGUGUCUCCUGAACCCCAGCUGGAGAUGAUUCUCAGACAAGAGGAAAGAGUAUAAAAAUGGGAGACAGCUGUCCCAACUUAUUCCUCCUUUUCUCUCUACUCAUAGCAGCCACAACAUCUGAGGAACAAAGAAACAGCUUAGGACUGAGAGAGGGAUCCUGUCUGAAAGGAGUUCAGACAGUAAGACUGCUGAAGCAUGUGAUCGAUAGGCAGCGAUAUGUCCAGCAGGGGGGGUCGAUAAAUCGACUGCCGAUUGCUCUAGUGUCGACUCUGGUACUCCACCUCAACAAGAAGCACAAGGGGAAUCGAUGGGAGAGCGUCUCUCGUUGACACACCUCAGUGAAGACACCGCGUCUUACCUCUAAGAGUCCAUACUGGGCCUCCUUAUGAAUCCACAAGACAACACAUGGUAUCAGAAGUGGAAUAAAAGUGAGGACAGAGAAAAGAGGACUGUGGUGAAUAAGUCAACUUGGAGAUGGAGCAACUAAAAGCCCCAAAGAGCGUGCAUGCGUGUGCACACACACAAGCAGCUGGCUUUGGUGAGAAAAAAAAAGACCAGCAGAAUAUAAUUUCUUAAAUGUUGCAGUGGACUUAUUUAAUAGAAUGCAAAUAAAGCAAAUUAUGAAACUAUUUUGCAGAAAUUUGAAGAGUAUUGCAUACUUUAAAUAGGUAUUUGGAAAAAAAAAAGUAUAUUUGAAUGGUAUAAAUUUCACCUUACAAGACAAAAGGAAGGAGAACCCUUUGAAAAAUUCCUAACAGAGCCAAAGCUAAAUAAACCAAACCUGCAACCAUGGACAGUUAGAGUCAAUUAUAAGGGAUCAAAUUGUAAUUGAAAUCAGAGAUCGAAAGCUACAAAAAAGAUAAUUGAAAGAUAUGGAUCUCAUUUUGGAUAAAACAGCAAGACUGUUCGGCAGCAGAAAUCACUCUGAACAGAAUAAAAAUAAUGGAAGGAAAACAAGACACUGCCACUCUACAGAGUGACAAAAAAGAGAAAAAUGGCAAGCAGUAAGUCAGUGCAAAACAAAAACCACAGACAAACAUGAAAAAAGCAAAGCACAACUUAAAAGUUUGCACAAGAUUUUGACACAAACACAGACCUUUUCAAUGUCCAGUUCUGGUAAGCGCUGCAAUAUUUGUAAGAAAUACAAUCAUUUUGCCAUCUGCAACCAGGAUCAACUACAGAACAAGAAGCAAAGCAUGCAUGCUAAUUCAAUAAUCCAGGUAGACAGCACAGAGCAACACAGAAGAGGAGUUCUAUCUAGGAGUUGUAUCUGAAGAGGAGGGGACAGAUGAAUGGACAAUUUCUUUAGAGACUAAUUGGAUUCCUAUAACCUACUAAUUAGACACUGGUGCUCAGCUAAAUGUUGUUUCAGAUAAAUUAGUAUCAAAAGGUUUAAGAAAAAACAUGGAAAAUGGUGAGCAAACAGGUUAAACUGAAAGCUUAUAAUGGAGAACUCAUUUCCACUAGAGGUACAUGUGUACUAGAAGUGAAGGUAAACGAUCAAAAAGAAUUGAUAAAUUAUGCAAUAGUUAAAGAAAAUAAAGCACCUAUAUUGGGUUUAAAAACCAUGCCAAGACCUUAGGCUGAUCCAAAGAGUGUACGUGGUACAAGGGAUAAGGGACACAGGCACAGAGAAACAGUAUCAGAACGUUUUGGAAAGUACAGGAAAAUUAGCAACUGAAUAUAGCAUUCAACUAACAGAGUCAAAUUGUCCUGCCAUUCAUUCCCCUAGAAAUAUUCCUCUAAGUAUGAGGAAUAAAAGCUCAAAGAACUGGAUGGUUUAGUAAAAGACAUUAGAAGAACCACCUACAGAAUGGCUGAACUUAUUAAUAGAAGGAAAAAUAGGAUGGAACACUGAGAUUACACCUAGAUUCUAAGGAGUUUAACAAAUAUAUCAAAAGGGAACACUUUCAGUUACCUAACAGGGAAGACAUUUUGGGGGAUAUGGCUGGUGCAAUUAUUUUACUACUUUAAAUGCAUCAUCUGGAUUCUGGCAGAAUGCCUUAGUAAAGAGGAGCUCCAAAUUAUGAACUUUUAUUACACCAUAUGGAAGAUAGUGCUUUCUCAGAUUACCAUUUGGUCUAAAGUCUGCUCCAGAAGUCUUCCAUAGAACUGUGCAGUAAAUUAUUUGAGGGAAUUGAAGGCACAAAACUGCAUAUAGAUGAUAGCAUAAUAGAGGAACAUAAUUACAGGUUAAAGACAGCAUUGGAAAGGCCUACAGCUGUAGGUAUGAACCUUAAAAAAAAAAAAAAAAAAGUAAA